rnacentral:lncRNA from 1 species
UCAUUCUAAUUAAAAAAAUAAGUUUUAUAAAAUAAUUAUGUAAAACUGUUUAACAAUUUUUUUUUACUCUUGGUAAAUCAUUAUUUUUUACUAACUUUUAUUUCAAAUUUUAAAAUUUAAAAUUUAAAAAUUAAAACAUAAAACUCAAAAAUUAAAAUUUUAAAUCUUAGACAUGAACUUAAAUUUAAAAUUUUAAUCCAUUAAUAUUUAAAUUUAAAUUUUGAUUCUAAAAUCGAAAUCAACUGCUUAUGAUUUU